AAAAAAAAGAAAAGAUGGAAGUAAAGAAAGAAGUAAUGCCAAAUGAUGAAGCAUCUUUUUCGUCUUCUUUCAUUUCCUCUUCCUUUUCUUCUUCUUUUUCUUCUUCUUUCUU
rnacentral:ribozyme from 13 species